rnacentral:rRNA from 1 species
AUGGAUCUGGAGCUCGCGCACGGCGCGGGGGCGCCGCGGAAGCGGGGGGAGUCGUGGGGCGCGGUGCUGCUGCUGGCGUACCAGAGCCUCGGGGUGGUGUACGGCGACGUGGCCACGUCGCCGCUCUACGUCUUCAAGAGCGCCUUCGCCGGCGACGACAUCACGCACACGGCGGGCAACGAGGAGAUCUACGGCGUCCUCUCCUUCGUCUUCUGGACGCUCACCCUCAUCUCCCUCCUCAAGUACGUCCUCAUCGUGCUCCGCGCCAACGACGGCGGCGAGGGCGGCACCUUCGCGCUCUACUCCCUCAUCUGCCGCCACGUGCGCGCCGGCCUCCUGCCCGGCGGCGGCACCAGCGACGACCUCAUGUCGGACGACAAGGACGCCGCCGCCCGUCGCGGCGCCGUCUCCAGGGCCAGGACGGUGCUGGAGAGGUACAGGGUGCUGCAGAGGCUCUUGCUGCUCUUCGCGCUGCUUGGGACGUGUAUGCUCAUCGGUGACGGAGUGCUCACCCCUGCGCUCUCCGUUUUCUCCGCGGUCUCGGGGCUCGAGCUAUCAAUGGAGAGGGCGCAACACAAAUAUGUAGGGCUUCCGGUGACGUGCGCCAUACUUAUAUGCUUGUUUGCUCUGCAACACUAUGGCACGCACAGAGUUGGGUUUAUCUUUGCGCCAAUCGUCUGCAUUUGGCUUCUCUGCAUAAGCACGAUAGGGCUCUACAACAUCAUCUACUGGAACCACCAUGUGUAUCGAGCCCUUUCGCCAUACUACAUGUAUCAGUUCCUCAAGAAGACUCAGAAAGGUGGCUGGAUGUCACUGGGUGGAAUCCUUCUCUGUGUUACAGGCUCGGAAGCUAUGUAUGCAGAUCUUGGACAUUUCUCGCAGAGAUCAAUUCAGAUUGCGUUCAUAUCAGUGGUUUAUCCAGCUCUUGUCCUGGCUUAUAUGGGACAGGCUGCCUAUAUCUCUCAACACCACAGCUUUGAGAAUAGCUAUCAUAUUGGGUUCUAUGUUUCAGUACCAGAAAAACUCAGAUGGCCUGUUCUAGUGAUCGCUAUCCUAGCAUCUGUGGUCGGAAGCCAAGCGAUUAUUACUGGUACCUUCUCAAUUAUCAAGCAGUGCUCUGCACUAAGUUGCUUCCCUGGUGUAAAGAUCGUGCACACAUCCUCUACGGUGCAUGGUCAGAUAUACAUACCUGAGAUCAAUUGGAUCCUGAUGAUACUGUGUCUGGCUGUUACUAUUGGCUUCAAUAACACAAAGCACUUGGCGAACGCACAAGGUCUUGCGGUCAUAACGGUUAUGCUUGUGACCACUUGUUUAAUGUCAUUGGUUAUCGUGCUUGUCUGGAACAAAAGUAUCUUCAUUGCCCUUGGUUUCCUGAUUUUCUUUGGCUCAAUCGAAGUAAUGUACUUCUCAGCUUCCCUUGUCAAGUUUCAUGAAGGUGCCUGGGUCCCUAUUACCCUUUCCUUCAUAUUUAUGGUGGUCAUGUAUGUGUGGCACUAUGGCACAAUAAAGAAGUACGAGUUUGAUGUUCAAAACAAGGUUUCAGUAAACUGGCUAUUGAACCUCGGCCCUUCACUGGGAAUUGUUCGUGUUCGAGGCAUUGGGCUGAUACAUACAGAGCUUAUGUCUGGAAUUCCAGCCAUUUUCUCCCAUUUCGUAACAAAUCUGCCAGCAUUUCACCAGGUACUGGUCUUUCUCUGCGUUAAAUCAGUUCCAGUACCACAUGUUGAACCAGAAGAGAGAUUUCUGGUGGGUCGCAUUGGUCCGAAAGAGUACAGGCUAUACAGGGUCAUUGUCAGAUAUGGGUACCGUGAUGUGCAGCAGGAUGACCUAGAAUUUGAAAAGGACCUAAUUAACAGCAUAGCGGAGUUCAUUCGCAGUGGGGGGUCUGACCAGAAUGGCUUUGUGGAAGGCAGCGAGAAACUCUCCUCCAUUAGCAGCGGUGCCAUUCCAUUGUGGGAGGAGGACGGUGACGGUGAAGUUGAUGGGCCGGCAUCCCCUAACAAGGAGAUAAACCAACAAACUGUGGUGCCACAGCGAAAGCAAGCGAGGUUUGUGCUACCAAAGAGCGCCCAGGUGGACGCCGAGGUGCGGAGCGAGCUGCAGGACCUGAUGGACGCAAGGGAGGCUGGCAUGUCCUUCAUUCUGGGUCACUCCCACAUGAAGGCCAAGAGCGGGUCUAGCUUCGUGAAGCGGAUCGUGAUAAACUUCUUCUACGAGUUCUUGAGGAGGAACAGCCGUGGCCCGUCCUAUGCCGCUAACAUACCCCAUGCUUCCACCUUGGAGGUAGGAAUGGUCUACCAAGUCUGA